rnacentral:rRNA from 1 species
AUGGCUCAGGAUGAACGCUGGCGGCGUGCCUAAUACAUGCAAGUCGAACGAGUUCUCGUUGAUGAUCGGUGCUUGCACCGAGAUUCAACAUGGAACGAGUGGCGGACGGGUGAGUAACACGUGGGUAACCUGCCCUUAAGUGGGGGAUAACAUUUGGAAACAGAUGCUAAUACCGCAUAGAUCCAAGAACCGCAUGGUUCUUGGCUGAAAGAUGGCGUAAGCUAUCGCUUUUGGAUGGACCCGCGGCGUAUUAGCUAGUUGGUGAGGUAAUGGCUCACCAAGGCGAUGAUACGUAGCCGAACUGAGAGGUUGAUCGGCCACAUUGGGACUGAGACACGGCCCAAACUCCUACGGGAGGCAGCAGUAGGGAAUCUUCCACAAUGGACGCAAGUCUGAUGGAGCAACGCCGCGUGAGUGAAGAAGGCUUUCGGGUCGUAAAACUCUGUUGUUGGAGAAGAAUGGUCGGCAGAGUAACUGUUAUCGGCGUGACGGUAUCCAACCAGAAAGCCACGGCUAACUACGUGCCAGCAGCCGCGGUAAUACGUAGGUGGCAAGCGUUAUCCGGAUUUAUUGGGCGUAAAGCGAGCGCAGGCGGUUUUUUAAGUCUGAUGUGAAAGCCCUCGGCUUAACCGAGGAAGCGCAUCGGAAACUGGGAAACUUGAGUGCAGAAGAGGACAGUGGAACUCCAUGUGUAGCGGUGAAAUGCGUAGAUAUAUGGAAGAACACCAGUGGCGAAGGCGGCUGUCUGGUCUGUAACUGACGCUGAGGCUCGAAAGCAUGGGUAGCGAACAGGAUUAGAUACCCUGGUAGUCCAUGCCGUAAACGAUGAAUGCUAGGUGUUGGAGGGUUUCCGCCCUUCAGUGCCGCAGCUAACGCAUUAAGCAUUCCGCCUGGGGAGUACGACCGCAAGGUUGAAACUCAAAGGAAUUGACGGGGGCCCGCACAAGCGGUGGAGCAUGUGGUUUAAUUCGAAGCAACGCGAAGAACCUUACCAGGUCUUGACAUCUUUUGAUCACCUGAGAGAUCAGGUUUCCCCUUCGGGGGCAAAAUGACAGGUGGUGCAUGGUUGUCGUCAGCUCGUGUCGUGAGAUGUUGGGUUAAGUCCCGCAACGAGCGCAACCCUUAUGACUAGUUGCCAGCAUUUAGUUGGGCACUCUAGUAAGACUGCCGGUGACAAACCGGAGGAAGGUGGGGAUGACGUCAAAUCAUCAUGCCCCUUAUGACCUGGGCUACACACGUGCUACAAUGGAUGGUACAACGAGUUGCGAGACCGCGAGGUCAAGCUAAUCUCUUAAAGCCAUUCUCAGUUCGGACUGUAGGCUGCAACUCGCCUACACGAAGUCGGAAUCGCUAGUAAUCGCGGAUCAGCACGCCGCGGUGAAUACGUUCCCGGGCCUUGUACACACCGCCCGUCACACCAUGAGAGUUUGUAACACCCGAAGCCGGUGGCGUAACCCUUUUAGGGAGCGAGCCGUCUAAGGUGGGACAAAUGAU